UACGUAGGGUGCAAGCGUUGUCCGGAAUUAUUGGGCGUAAAAGAGCUCGUAGGCGGUUCGUCGCGUCGGCUGUGAAAAACCCGAGGCUCAACCUCGGGCCUGCAGUCGAUACGGGCGGACUGGAGUUCGGCAGGGGAGACUGGAAUUCCUGGUGUAGCGGUGAAAUGCGCAGAUAUCAGGAGGAACACCGGUGGCGAAGGCGGGUCUCUGGGCCGAUACUGACGCUGAGGAGCGAAAGCGUGGGGGAGCGAACAGG
rnacentral:rRNA from 1 species